UGGGAGACCGCCAGACUACUGUAAGGCACUCUAGUCCAGCUCUUGCUGGAAGCGGCCCAGGAAGUGGGUGUGGCGAAAGGAGGUGACAGCAAUAGUAACCAACGAAAAUGUAUUGGAGAUCUAAACGCCAGAAAGUUCAGCCAAUGGGAAGUGAGAGUCAUUUUCUCUCACGCAUCUCGGUGGGCCCCUCAUAAUAGGACUCUGAUCUCGGAAGUAGGCAAGGCGCUAAGGUGUUUCUGUGUGUGGAUUCGUGGUGUCCUGGUUUUCGGAAGACCUCAGUUAGCGACUCUCUGCUGAAGGAAACAAAUUUGCAGACCUGGUUCUGGUUGUUUCUGUUUAGGACUGCCUGUUGCUUUUUGCCACAGCGUUUUCAGGAUUAGACAAGUAAGAGAAACGUCCGGUUCUAGUCCUAUGCUCGUGGGGCUCUCCAGCCCGGGAAAAAGGUGAAAUGUUGAGACGCUCAUACAAGUCAUCAUUAUCCUCUGCCCAAAGCUGCUCUCCGCUUGCGUAUGGCCAAUCUACUAAAUGAAACAGAACUUAACUUUUGGUGCUCCUGGCUCUGCAGCCCACCGGCUGAGCGACAUAAGACCCGCUCAGAACAGUCGGCCUAGCUGAGAGAGUUCUACAGACUUCCCCACGGUUUUACUGCUGCAGUUUCUAGCUCCAAGAGCACGGGACUGGUCCAGACCGCAGCCUGCCCUCACCUGGAAGCCCCUUGCCCUUACUCGCCCCAAGGCCUGUGCAGGCCCCGAGUCAAGUCAACCCUGGCUUUCAGCAGGAUCCUCGGCUUCUCCUGUCCUCCAGGUUCUUGCCUUGAGUUCCAACCCUGACUGCCCUCAAUGGUGGACUGUGAUAUGGAAGAGUAAGCAAACCCAACUCUCUCUUCUCCAAGUUGAUUUUGGUCAUAUUGUUUCAUCACAAUAAUGGAAGCCCUGACCAAGACAGGGUAUACACCCAAGAGUGACAGAACUUGGUCUUGGUCAUAUUGUAGUUUCUUCAGCUUUUUUUGAGGAUUCUUCACGCUGUUAUCCUCUGAUCCCUUGUGUCCAUCGC
rnacentral:lncRNA from 1 species